rfam:Anas platyrhynchos breed Pekin duck contig34124, whole genome shotgun sequence.
CUAUAUAUACCCUGUAGAACCGAAUUUGUGUGAUAUUCAUAUAGUCACAGAUUCGAUUCUAGGGGAAUAUAUGGU